ACUUUUACCUUUUACCUUUACCACAGACACUUGUACCUUUUCUAAGCCCUAAUUGGCUGGGAGAGAGGUUGACCUGGCUCUCUGGGGAGGAUAAUUUGGUGC